rnacentral:rRNA from 1 species
AUGAUAGCGACCACUGCAUCCCCGCCGCCGCCGCCGCCGCCAUCUACUCCUACUACUCCCAGUUCCAAAGGCAUGGAUCCCGCUGUCCACGACAUGAUAAAGGCUAUGCUCGCGGAGAAGGCGGCCGCGCAAGCAUCGGCGUCAGCGUCGGCCGUGAAAGCCGAGCCGGGCAGCAACGCAGCUUUGUGCGGGGAGAAGAGGGGUCUGGAGGAAGUGUUUGCGGCCAAGGCGGCCGCGCAACGAAGAAGAGGAUUCGGGAGGAAGCUAGGGGCAAGGAGGAGGUUCCGCCUCUUUCGGCGCUGA